ACGGGGUGCAGCAGGCGCGAAAAUUCUACAAUGCAGGCAACUGCGAUAGGGGGACAUCGGGUGGCGCUCACUUUGGGCGCCUGUCCCACCGUCUAAAAAACGGUGGUUAGCAAGGGCCGGGUAAGACCGGUGCCAGCCGCCGCGGUAAUACCGGCGGCUCGAGUGGUGGCCGAUAUUAUUGGGUCUAAAGGGUCCGUAGCCGGCUUCGUAAGUCCCCCGGGAAAUCCAGCGGCUUAACCGUUGGGCUUCCGUGGGAUACUGCGUUGCUUGGGACUGGGAGAGGUAGGAGGUACUCGGGGGGUAGGGGUGAAAUCCUGUAAUCCCCUGGGGACCACCGGUGGCGAAGGCGUCUCACCAGAACGGCUCCGACAGUGAGGGACGAAAGCUAGGGGCACGAACCGGAUUAGAUACCCGGGUAGUCCUAGCCGUAAACGAUGCCCGCUAGGUGUCACGGCGGUCGUGAAUCGCCGUGGUGCCGUAGGGAAGCCGCGAAGCGGGCCACUUGGGAAGUACGGCCGCAAGGCUGAAACUUAAAGGAAUUGGCGGGGGAGCAC
rnacentral:rRNA from 1 species